rnacentral:lncRNA from 1 species
UUUUUAAAGGUUAUGUUUUGAAUAGUUUUAUAAUCAUGCGUAAAAAUGAAGUGUAAAUUUUAAAAUGUGACCCGGCUUUGUUGUUAAGCCCCAUUUGUGGGCAUUAUGUUUUCUGGUCUAUGCGUCUGUUCGUCCGUGCGUAUGUCAGUCUGUUCGUCCGAUUGUCCUUGUGUCUCGCUUCAGGUUUAAGUGUUUGGUCAAGGUAGUUGAAUCUGACAUCAGACUCAGACUUUUUUUGAAGUAAAUUUUACUGUGUGUAUUGUGUGUUUGAUUUUUUUCUACUUUGCCUAGAGGUAAAGGGAGAGGGGGUUUGAGAUCGGAAAAAUAACAUGUUUAAAUCUGCCGAUUUUUUGGGCCUGUCCUAACCUAGGAUUUCCUGGCCAUUGUUAGUCUUGCGAUUUGGGCAUCCAUGUACUAAAG